UACGUAGGGUGCGGGCGUUAAUCGGAAUUACUGGGCGUAAAGCGUGCGCAGGCGGUUAUGUAAGACAGAUGUGAAAUCCCCGGGCUCAACCUGGGAACUGCAUUUGUGACUGCAUAGCUAGAGUACGGCAGAGGGGGAUGGAAUUCCGCGUGUAGCAGUGAAAUGCGUAGAGAUCGGCAGGAACACCCAGGGGGAAACCAGCCGACUGGGCAUCUACUGACGCUGAUGUGCGAGAGCGUGGGGAGCGAACCGG
rnacentral:rRNA from 1 species